rnacentral:rRNA from 1 species
UACGGAAGGCAGCAGUGGGGAAUAUUGCACAAUGGGCGCAAGCCUGAUGCAGCCAUGCCGCGUGUAUGAAGAAGGCCUUCGGGUUGUAAAGUACUUUCAGCGGGGAGGAAGGGAGUAAAGUUAAUACCUUUGCUCAUUGACGUUACCCGCAGAAGAAGCACCGGCUAACUCCGUGCCAGCAGCCGCGGUAAUACGGAGGGUGCAAGCGUUAAUCGGAAUUACUGGGCGUAAAGCGCACGCAGGCGGUUUUGUUAAGUCAGAUGUGAAAUCCCCGGGCUCAACCUGGGAACUGCAUCUGAUACUGGCAAGCUUGAGUCUCGUAGAGGGGGUAGAAUUCCAGGUGUAGCGGUGAAAUGCGUAGAGAUCUGGAGGAAUACCGGUGGCGAAGGCGGCCCCUGGACGAGACUGACGCUCAGGUGCGAAAGCGUGGGGAGCAAACAGGAUUAGAUAACC